rnacentral:rRNA from 1 species
UUUGGAUGGACUCGCGGCCUAUCAGCUUGUUGGUGAGGUAAUGGCUCCACCAAGGCCGACGACGGGUAGCCGGCCUGAGAGGGUGACCGGCCACACUGGGACUGAGACACGGCCCAGACUCCUACGGGAGGCAGCAGUGGGGAAUAUUGCACAAUGGGCGAAAGCCUGAUGCAGCGACGCCGCGUGAGGGAUGACGGCCUUCGGGUUGUAAACCUCUUUCAGUAGGGAAGAAGCGAAAGUGACGGUACCUGCAGAAGAAGCGCCGGCUAACU